rnacentral:tRNA from 1 species
ACUCUUUUAGUAUAAUCAGUACAAUUGACUUCCAAUCAAUCAGCUUUGAUAG